CAAAAAAAAAAAAAAAGAAAAAGAAAAAUGAAAUGAGGAUAGGGCACAGUGGCCCAAGCAGGGGUCCUGGAGUCAGAAUCCCCUGAGAAAGUACACUCUGGGCCCUUUGGCCUAGGACCCUGGGGAGCAGUGCUGGCUAAGGUAUGUGAGCAUUUUGACCACAGGUAUAACAUUUAAAUGUAUUUGUAGGUGGAGGGAUAGGCCCAAAGAUAGUGCAGGGCCUCAGCCACUGAGCUGGUGAGUGAUGUGGACUGAUGUUGGCUGAGUUCCUGGUCCUCAGUUCUUAUCACUCUCAGUCAGGCCUCAUGUUUGCCAGCUGAUUACAGCAACGAACUGGCAGAGGGCUUUAUUUGGGGGCCCAUCUAGCAUCUGGAACACAGGUUUCUGACCUCUGUCUUCUCCUUAGGCAGUGAGUCUACACUAAGUUGCAGAUCAUAACAGGACUGACCUUGUAUAGAGUUCAUGGAGGAGACAGGCUGGCCUGAACCACUAUUCUGGAGGACUGUGGAGAACCCAGAGGAGUGAUAUCAUGGAGGGUUUCCUCAGCCUUCUGGGGAGUGGCCGUGGGGGUGGAAAGCAGCAGAGUGGGAAGUCUCACCUGAUGGUUUUGCUGAGGGCUGCUUAUGGGAGAGCCCUUCUCCUUGGCCGCUGGCCUCUUCUAUAUCCAGGACACACUUCAGGACACACUUGGGCACCAUGGAAAUAUCUACCCAGCCAGCAAUACUUACUCAGCCAACCACACUGCUUUGUGAUCUAGCAGUUCUACUCUUGAUACAUACCUGGGUGAAGUGGGAGUCAUUAGUCACCAAAAGACAUGUGAAAUGUUCUCAGUAGCUUUAUUCUUAAUUGUUUCAAGCUGGAAACUAUCCAAAUACUUGUCAGUUAUGAAAUGAAUAAAUACAUGUGUAUUCUUGUUUGGUAGAAUACUAUAUGACAAUGAAAUAAAACUACUGAUAUACAUAUGGAUAACCUCACAGACAUAAUGUUGAGUGAAAAAAAAAAAACUAGUCACAAAAAUGUAGACACAAGCAAGGUGCCACAUGCUGCAUGCCUGUAAUCCCAGCAGCUUGGAAGGCUGACGCAGGAGGAUCACAAGUUUGAGGCCAGUCUUAGCAAUUUAGCAAGGCCCUAAGCAACUUAACAAGACUCUGUCUCAAAAUAAAAUAAAUAAAUAAAUAAAAA
rnacentral:lncRNA from 1 species